rnacentral:rRNA from 1 species
CACGCCGUAAACGGUGGGCGCUAGGUGUGGGGAACCUUCCACGUUCUCCGUGCCGUAGCUAACGCAUUAAGCGCCCCGCCUGGGGAGUACGGCCGCAAGGCUAAAACUCAAAGGAAUUGACGGGGGCCCGCACAAGCGGCGGAGCAUGCGGCUUAAUUCGAUGCAACGCGAAGAACCUUACCUAGGCUUGACAUGUGGGGAAAUCUGUCAGAGAUGGCAGGUCCGCAAGGGUCCCAUACAGGUGG